AUUGAACGCUGGCGGCAUGCCUUACACAUGCAAGUCGAACGGUAACAGGUCUUCGGAUGCUGACGAGUGGCGAACGGGUGAGUAAUACAUCGGAACGUGCCUAGUAGUGGGGGAUAACUACUCGAAAGAGUGGCUAAUACCGCAUGAGAUCUACGGAUGAAAGCAGGGGAUCGCAAGACCUUGUGCUACUAGAGCGGCCGAUGGCAGAUUAGGUAGUUGGUGGGAUAAAAGCUUACCAAGCCGACGAUCUGUAGCUGGUCUGAGAGGACGAUCAGCCACACUGGGACGGAAACACGGCCCAGACUCCUAGGGGAGGCGGCAGGGGGGAAUUUUGGACAAUGGGCGAAAGCCUGAUCCAGCAAUGCCGCGUGCAGGAUGAAGGCCUUCGGGUUGUAAACUUCUUUUGUACGGAACGAAAAGCCCCGGGUUAAUACCCUGGGUUCAUGACGGUACCGUAAGAAUAAGCACCGGCUAACUACGUGCCAGCCGCCGCGGUAA
rnacentral:rRNA from 1 species